GAAAUGAAUUCAGAAGAAAAUAAUAAGGGCAGACCCUCAGCUUAUUCAAGAAAUGAAGAGGCAUGCUAUUAUUGCGGUAAUAAAGGCUGACCAUAGGGAUUUAGAAAUAUCUCGAUUUAAAAAAUUUGCAGAUCUUUCGUCUACAAUGUUUGU